ensembl:lncRNA
AUGUGUUCUGUUAUAAGGGAGAAAACAAACUUUGCAGGGUCUUCAUGCUCAGUUAUGUGGUACCUGUCCAUAGUAUUUACCUUCACAGUAUAUGGAACCCAUGGUUGUGUGAUAACCAGUCCAGACCAGAAGGCUAAUGCUGGGACAGAUGUCCAUUUGUCGUGUAAUUUCUGGCAAUGUCCUGGACCUCUGGACAUCAUGUCUCUUAGUGUGGAGUGGGAAUUCAAGGAUAUCUCCUCUGAGCCAAAAAUAAUCCUCUACUACAUCAGAAAUCGAACUGUACCACUUCCUGGUGUGUUUUUUCAGGGAGAUGUCGAAUUAGGGAGUUUUGAUAUACAUCUCCCGUCUGUGACCCAUGAGAACAGUGGAACUUAUUUAUGUAGAUUACGUCUCAAUGGCAUUUUUCACAAGAACCAAACACACCUUAUUGUGCAAUCAGCACUGACCAGGAGAAACAAUCCAGGUGUAAAUCAUCUGCAGAAACGUCCUCCCUGGUUGCUGCCCCUGGCCUCAGUGGCAUCAGUGGCUGGGUUUGUGUUACUAAUUGGUACAGUUUUUUGGGGGAGGAAAGCUUACACGUCAACCCAGAGAGAAAACAACUCAAAGCAAAAUAUGGAAGAGGCUAAAACCAGCACUGAUGCUGAAGACAAGGGAAUUAUAUAUAAGGUGGGAUUCAGCAUGCCUGACCUCGCAGACGUGAACAGUCCACCUAGCAGUCCAGAUAACAUCUAUGUUACCAUGCAUGGUUUGCCAUUCGCACCAGAUGUUCCUGCCACAGCUGGACGCAACAGACGUCUUCCCUCUGAUUGGCAGCUGAAGGAUGAGGAACCCGUAUUUGUCCGCUGAUACCAAGAUUUAUUAGUCAGAUCAUGCCACUUGAAAGAUGAGACACAGAAUAAGUGAUUAUUUAAAUUAGUGAGAGUAAGUAUUGUCAGAUAUGCAUUAUAUAGUCCCAAAACAGACUGUUUUGUGUAUUAUUUUUCAAUACUCACCAGCUGUACAUCACUGUACAUUAUCCCUCAUAAUAAAUCUGUUAUUUCCUCAUGCA